AAGGACACAUAUAUAACUAUCAAACAUGUACCAGAGGAAAGAAACAAGAUAAUAUGACAGGGACAAAUAUAUAUCACAACACAAACAUAUAUAUUUUCACAUGAACAUAGUUAACACAGGAACUACGGUAUAAACAUAACCACACAUAUGGGAACAAAGUACUACACCAAGGUUCAGGUUACACGAGUGACAACACAAACGAAAUUACACAAGCCACUAAACUAGUACUCGCAGAUCAACAGAAGCAGCAAGACAGAGAGGAGAGGCUGCAGGGGAUUAGACUCCCCUGUGACGGUGUCUUGUCAGGGGCGUGAGUAGAAGUAGUGAAGGGGUUCAGAGAAGAAGCAUGAGCAGCGGCAGAGGGAGUAAGUAGCAGGAGCGCAUAGAGAAGAAGCAGCAGCAUGUAGCAGAUGCGUUCAGCAGGGGCAGCAGGAAAGAUGUGGGAGAGAGAGAGAUCGCAGCAGGUGAAGAGGAGAGGAACAAUAGCAAGGGGCGAAGGGCGUAGAAGAAUUGCAGGUUGAAGAUGGGAGGAGCAGCAGAAGGUUGAGGUAGGCGAGGCGAAACAGCAGGGAGCAGCGGAGGUAAGGGAAGAAAGGUAGCAGAGAGAGAUGGAGAAGGAGUGGAGUCGCAGGGAGGACCAGACGCCCGUCUGAUCGGGCGCACGAGGUGCGGCGGUGGAGCGGUGGCGCUGGGCAAUGCAGGUGGUGCUGGUGGCGGUGUGAGGUGCGGCUGGUGGUGGAAGGUGCUGGUGGCGCGCCGCCACGCCGGCCUCGCCGCGGCGGCGACCGGAUGUGGAGAAGAGUGGUGAGAGGGAGAGAGAUGAGAUGCCAGGCCCAAAGGGGAUCGAGGCUGCUACUAGGGAUUUUGACCCCUCCUCUAGUCUGCCACUUUUCUGAUUUGGCCCUUCUCCUUUCCUUCUUUCUUCCCAAGUCGAUCCCCUCCAUCUUUAGUUUUGGCCCCUGGUUUCUUCUUUCCUUCAUGCUCAGGUCCCUUUGUUCACUUCUUCCCUGCCCUUCUCUCUUCUCAAUAUCCAAUUCGUCCGAAUCUUGAAGAUUAUAGUGCCUUUGCACACAUUUCUGCAAAAUAGACCAAAGACUAGUAAAUGACCCUUUAUAUGAUUUUCAUGCAAAUAUUCAAUAUUUCACAUCAAGAAUUGAUGGUCAUAUCUCAAUAAACCGCAUAUUUGAGUGCCAAAAGAUUUAUAUGAAAUGUGCUUAUCAAGUUCCCCCACACUUAAAUCAUUGCUUGUCCUCAAGCAAAGGAAUAUGACAAGAGUAGGAUAGUGAAUAGUGAGCUGACUAGAGAAUGUCCAAGUGAAGUAGAUCUCUAAACAAUGCAUGCUUUGGACUUAGCUAGUGAAAAUCAAUGGUUAAGAGUGCUACAGAGCAAUAGGACACUAGUAAACUCAAUCAUUUUAAACUUUUACAAAGAUAAAAGUGGAUCAACAAGUUCAAAUGCUGAUUGCGCCAAAGGGUUCCUAAAGAGAGCAUGAUCCCCAAAAAAGCUUAUUACCCGGAACAUAACAUUAUGGUUGAAGCACUUAUUGAAUGUGAAGGAAGUAAUGAUAAUAUUUUAUCGAUCUCACCAAAGGAACAUACCACCAAUCCCAAGAACAUGGUAUACACCUGGCUCGACCAAUUAUUAGUUUUUUUGUUUGUCUCCCCAAAGGAACGUACCACCGAUCAUGAGAACAUGGUAUACACCUGGUUCGACAAUUACAUUUUUAUUUAUUUAUUACUGUCCAAGCUACCAGAUUUCACAUGCCACCGAUCCAGGGAACAUGACAUGCUACUGUAGGUAGACUAGACUUAUUCAUUAUAAGAUAUACUUUUUUUACUUUUCAAAUUAACAAAAACAAGAAUCAUCACUCAGCCAUGUCUGGUUCACAUACUACCGAUCCAGGGAACAUAGCAUGCUAAUCCAUAGUGGUAAGUGAUUGCUCUGAAUGGGAACACAAUAGGCACAAACUCAGCAUCUAACACUUAAUGAUCUAAGUGUAGCAUGGUAAAAGCAGAAAAUGAUUAAGUUUACUAGUGCACUAGGGAUUUGAGCACUCAAAACUAAUAGCUUUCACUACUUUCAGCCAAGCAAGCAGUGUGUAGAUCACUAGUUUACAAGGCAUUCAACAAUUAGUUCGCAUAUUCUCAUCAAGCACCAUAUGUCAAAUAAAAUUCAGUGGGGCAACAUUUAAGAAAUGGCUUAAUAAGCAACCCAAAUAACAUUUGAUUUUAGCAUGUAUCAAUGGAUGAUAUACUCGGAAUGGGUCAUGAAACAGCUCACGGGCACUAUGAAGUAGCACUCGCUUGAUCACUAUCUAAGCUGCUGCUCUUCUCCUUUGCUUCCUCAUGGAUGCUCCAGCUUCACUCUUCUUCGUGUGUGCCCCCUUGCUUCUCCUCAUCCCCAUGCUCUGAGUCCACCAGGGUCCCAAGGAAUGUCACCUUGAACCUGGUCAGCAUGAAGGGAACGAUGCAGAAGCAAAAAACCUAAAAGAACACUCCACAAAGGAGACGAUGCAAGCGGUAGGGAUAAUACCCUCCAAGUCAUCAAUCGAGUAUCCAAUUACAUAAGCAUAGCUAUAAAGCACAUGUUUAGGAUGGUAGAAAUCAGCAAGGUCAACACUAACAUGAGGAUGAUAUUUAUCAUUAAGCUCAAAACUAGCAUGGGAAUGAUAUGUUUCAUUAAGCAAAGGACUAGCAUGAGGAGAAUAAGUGUCAUCAUCAUAAAUGAGAGCAAUACCACCAACCGUGUAUGUAUCAUCAUAUCCAAGCAAAUGAGUUUUCAAAUCAAUCUUAAGUGAUGAUAUCAUGUAAUGCAAGGAAGUAGCAAAGAAAUUAUACGGACGCAUGCCAUCAAGAGGAUUAGAUAAACAUGCUACAUCACGCUCCUGUAUGACGAUGGGAAAAUGUAUUUCUGGUUCUUCAUCUUCAAUCACAUCAACUUCUUUUGCUUCUUCAAGAGUAAUAGAUGAUGAGUCUUCAAUUGAUUGCUUGGGCUUUCGAGGUCUGGAUCCUCUUGUUCGUCUUGUUCCUUGUUUUCCAGUUCAUCUUCUUCAAUCUGAGGUAUCUCUUCCUCAAGUCUCUUACUAUCUUGCGCAGCUAGAUGUGACAGUGUUGGAACCUCAUAUGUUUGACUAGAGAUCUCAGCAGCACUCAGCUCAAGGAGGGAUGAGAUAGUACUGCCAGCGUCGAUGUUCUUCUCAAUCUUCCUUACUUCUUCCACUAGCUCAUUCCCACUCUUGAUCUUCUUCAUUUCAUCUAGUAUCACCGGCCUAAUUGGAUCAUCUUCAGCACUCAAAGUGAACUCGAGACUAAGCAAUGUGAGCUUGUCUAUAUCAUCAAAAUCAUCUUGUGUGGGCACUUGUGUUGAAGGUGUUGGUUGACCAAAUGGAGGACCAUUUAACUCCAUUGGCAACAUCUCCUGGUGUUGAGGUAUAUGAGUAGGAAGUGAAUAAAAUUGUUCUGGUGCAUAAUUGUUGCUCUCCUCAUUGUACCUAAUUCCCUGCAAUGGAUAACUAGAGGCAAACGAUGAGAUCUCAGGGCUGUUGUUCCUAUAUGACAUAUUCUGGUUUUCAGGCCACCCAUAUGAGUAAUUGUUUUGGUAUGAGCUAGGCUGUGGGGCGAAGCUCAUGCCAUAACAAUCGGGAGGGUGAGAGUAACCACGCUGACAUUCAGCGGGUGAAUGGCCCUGAAAUCCACAAAUAUGGCAUGUAGGAGCAACAUAAGGAUGACCUCUAGAAUAAGGAUCAUAAGAGCUAGCCCUAUCCUCAAAAACUACUUCUCGCUGCCGAGCUAAAUCAUCUAAUCGAUGGGAAAUCUUACUUAUCAGUUCUUGAAUACUUUCCAUGCUGUUUGUAGUGUUGCUCGUAUAAGCAUGAUGACCUGAGUUCAAUGCCAUUUCCAAGAAGAAAAUCCAACUUACAAAAAAAGAGAAAAUAACUAGAACAGUGGUUAGGGGUUAGUUAUAUAUCACAUAUAAAUGUCGCAAAAAGAAAACAAUAAAAACCUAGUCUAUAGCCUAAUACGGUCACUCGACGCUAGUCCACGGCAAUGGCGCCAAAAUGAUCGAUUGUAAGUACAGUGGGAUAUUUCGCCCGAACCGCAAGUGUCGUGUUCUCCACAGGGACUAGGCGACGACAACAAUGCUCGGCUAAAGCUAGGUGUUGGGGAUAUAACUAUUAGGUAUGACCCACCCAGGAGGGGCCGGGUUAUACCUAUGGCAAUUCAUGAAGCCCAAGACAGCUCUGGAAGAUGGCGGUUCAGUUAAGGGCCCAAGGUCCAAAGGCGACUCAAGGCCCGUAGAGAUAAACCGCCAUAUGUACGUAACUUGUAUUGUAAGGCAGGGAUAGUUAGAGACCGAGCCGGACACUGUUUAUGAGCCGUCCGGGACUCUGUGAGCCUCUGGACGUCGACCUCUGUAUAUAAAGGGACGACCCGGCGGCGGUUCAGGGGGGAAGUAACAUCAGAUCGAAAGCUAGGUCAAGCGGAUUCGCUCCCUAGUAAUCAAAACAUAAGCAAUACCAUUUCAAACUGGAUUAGGACUUUACCUUCACCGUAAGGGGUCGAACCAGUAUAAACCCUCGUGUCCUUUGUCCUGUUUUAACCCCUUUAAGCUUCCUAGUUGCGAUGGCUCCACGAUUAAGUCCUUUCACUAGGACAUCUGCCGUGACAAUUCCACGACAGUUGGCGCCCAUCGUGGGGCAUGCGCAUGGUGGAUUUGAGUUCUUGAAGGGCAGCUUCGAAGGGCUCAAGGGAUACGCUGUGGGCCGGAUGACCAAGAGUCGUCGCGGCAAGCUCUACAUCGACGACGCAGGCUGCGGCCCCGACGCCGGCUCAAUUGAGUACGGGUACCGGGUCCCCUUCGGCGGAAUCCAUGUCUUCAUCGGCCAGAUCGGCAAGCCGGUCCUGAGCCGGACAUCUACACCGACAUCGUCGAGACGGCUCAGCGUGCGAAACCCGCCCGAGCUCAGCCCGCCAUGAAGCGUGCCUUCAUGGGAUGCAUCCAUGGAGGGGAAUUUUUUGAAGGAUCUGUGUCUGGCGGUGAGACGGCCAUCUACUCUGAUGGUGAGUCAUCCACGGGCGAGACAAAUUCAUUGUAUCAACUGCAGGACGGUGGGCUUGGGGGCUGUUCCGAUGGCAGCAGUAUUCCGGACCCCUUUGAGCCGCCAAGCAGAGUGGGGAUCUUCAUGGCUGGCAUGCAACCCGGUCAAAACUCUACGGCUGCGGCAGCAAUAACCUCUGGGUCAGUGGCGGCCGUGGCAGGAGGCCCUGCGCGCCCGCUGGCUCAGGUGCUGAUGGAUCUCAUGGAUAGGAUGACAGCCCUGUUAACCGCCGUGGUUAAUCCGGCGGAUCAGGCUCAACAUGAGGCAGAAGUGGCACGGUUACAUGAGGAGGUAGCACAAGGCAAGGAAAACCUAGUAGCAGAGGAUGUUAGGAUGGCCACAGAGUGGGCGGCUUUGGAUGCUCGGGCGCAGCAGAUUCAAUCAGAGGCUUUCCAGCUUAUGAUGGAUCUGAACACAUCAAAUGAGGUCAUGAGGAGAAGGCACCAGAAGGCUAAUUCCCGUCUACCUCCGACUUAUGAUCCUAGAAACCUCUUCCGCACACCCGGUGCAGGCCCCAGUAACCCGCCGGAGGGAAACGGGGUUGCAACGUCCGGGGCUGGGACGCCGGUUCAACCACGGGUGAUGGAACCUCCUCGUAUGAAUACUUCUUCACCUCAUUAUGUACCAACACCACCGGGUCAUUAUUCUAACACUUUGGAGAACAUGGUCACUGCGGCGGCACGAUUGGCGGCUCUCCCGGUGGAGGGCGACUCUCUGACGGCGAUUGAAACACGAAGGGUUAGAGAACUUCAGACGGCUCUGGCGCAGCAGGAGGCAUAUUCGUAUAGUCAAGACAGGAUUCAUUCAACCCCUCGCCCAAGACGGAUCCCGAGUUAUAGCAGGCACAUAGAUUCAGCAGCCGUUUCAAGCAACGCCCAUCGUCGUGACCAGCCGUGCGGGCAUGACCCGGCGCGUUAUGGAGCUCCUAACUUGGUUUACCAGGACAGGAUACGCCAAGAGGCUGAGUGGGCGGUUCAGCAAGCGGCUAAGCGGGCGGCUCAGCGGGCGGCUUACCAGUCUUUUUUGGUUUAUCCGAUGACUUCUAUUGAGGCAGGCGUGACUACGAGGACUGGAGGUGUCCCUUGCCUGAUGCUGGCUCUGCGUAACGAGCGGGUGCCCAAGGAUUUCAAGGGGCCUCGAAAGGUGCCUAAUUACACGGCCGAUUUACAGCCCGGGGCAUGGAUUGAAAGUUAUGAGAUGGCCAUGGAACUACUGGAGGUCAGUGACGCUGCAAUGGCCAAGUACUUCACCAUAAUGUUGGAUGGGAUGGCCCGCACUUGGUUAAAGGGCCUGCCACCUAAUUCCAUUAGUUCAUGGGCAGAGUUAAAGGCCCGGUUUAUUCAGAACUUCAAAGACACAUGCAAGCAGCCCAUGUCAAUUGUGGAUUUGACUAAUUGCAAGCAAGAGGAAGGUGAGUCCACAACCCAUUGGGUGCGCCGGGUCAAAGCCAUAAUACAUUCAUCUGAUAAGAUGGAUGCCGGCUCUGCAGUCUUAAUGUUGGUGAAAAAUUACCGUUUUACGCCUCUGAAACAGAAGCUAGGGCGGCUCAAGCGCGAUUGUAAUGACAUGGGCCAGCUAAUGGCGGCUCUAGUCAAGUACGUUGAUUCUGAUAGUACCAAGGAUCCCAAGUCUGACAAUGAGAAGACAGGGAAGGGAAAGAAGAAUGACAAUGCCAAGGGUCAUCAGCAUAACCCGGCGAAUCAAGGAGGCAAUAAUAAACGUAAGGCUGACGGUAGCUCGAAGUUUGUGGCUAACACCAAUGUGCAGGGCAACAAUCAACGACGUAAGGGGAGACCACCUCCUCGGUCCGGCGGGUCAGGUCCCACUCUUGAGCAGUUGCUAAAUGAGCCAUGUCCAAGGCACGGUACUCAACAGAAACCGGCCACUCACCUAUGGAAGGAAUGUACAAUCAUGAAGGCUUUCAAGAACUCUAACAUGUUCAAUGACAAUCAUGGGCCGGGCGGCGGCGGUUUUCAUGGCUCGGGCGGCGGUUCAAAUUCCAACUUUCAAGGCUCUCAAGGAAAGCAAGGUGGCUAUAAUCAGCAAUCUGGCCAGGGAGGUCAGCAGCAGCAGCAGUGUGGAUAUCAGAGCAAUCCAAAACAACUGAAUAGUGGACAGUAUCAUGUGUUCACCACCAGUUUGUGCAAAAGGGACCACAAGCUUCAUAAGAGGGCUGUGAACGCUGUUGAGCCGACAGUUGCUCGUUAUUUGAGAUGGUCUGAGCAGCCUAUUCUAUGGAGUAGGGAAGAUCACCCUCCCCGGGUUGACAAUCCGGGUCACUUGGCCUUAGUGGUGUCACCUCAGGUUGGUGGAUAUAAAUUCACUAAGGUGCUCAUGGAUGGAGGUAGUAGCAUCAACAUCCUCUAUUAUGAGACUUUUCGUCGCAUGGGUUGACUGAUAAAAAUCUUAAGACAUCCAACACUAUUUUCCAUGGAGUGUUGCCUGGUAAGUCGGCGUACCCAGUGGGUAAGAUUGAACUAGAAGUAGCCUUUGGAGAUGAGCAUGAUUCUAGGGCUGAGAAGUUAACUUUUGAGGUGGUCAAAAUCAAAAGCCCAUAUCACGCCCUGUUUGGAUGGCCGGCUUAUGCCAAGUUCAUGGCACGGUCGUGUUAUGUUUAUCUGCAGCUCAAGAUGCCGGGUCAUAAGGGCACCAUCACAGUGCAUGGGAGUCGGAAGAUAGCCUUGGAAUGUGAGGAAGGCGAUGCUGCUUACGCUGAAUCUGUUUGUGCAACAGAGGAGUUGAAGUUCUACAAGGACAAUGUUGACCCGGCGGACAUGACGUCUUUGAAGAAGCCAACCACAGAACAUGAGCCGGCGCUGAAAUUUAAGUCGGCUGAUGACACCAAGCUUGUCAAUUUUGUUCCAGGUGACUCAUCUAAGCAGUUCAGUAUCAGUGCUAAUCUGGAUCCAAAAUAGGAAAGCGCUCUCAUCGAGUUCAUCCGUGAGAAUCGAGACAUCUUUGCAUGGAAACCUUCUGACAUGUCAGGUGUACCGAGAGAUCUUGCUGAGCACACUCUCAAUAUUGAUCCAAAGUUUAAGCCGGUCAAGCAGUUUCUUCAGCGGUUCAAUGAGGAGAGGCGUAAGGGCAUUGGUGAGGAAGUGGCCCGACUCUUGGCGGUCGGGUUCAUUAUUGAAGUUUUCCAUCCAGAGUGGUUGGCUAACCCGGUGCUCGUGCUUAAAAAGAAUGGCACCUGGCGUAUGUGUGUGGAUUACACGGACUUAAACAAGGCUUGUCCGGCUGAUCCUUUCGCGCUCCCUCGUAUUGAUCAAAUCAUUGAUGCUACGGCGGGUUGUGAGCGUUUGAGCUUUUUGGAUGCUUAUUCUGGUUAUCAUCAGAUCAAGAUGGCAGUUAAGGACCAGGAGAAGAUGGCUUUUAUUACUCCGUUUGGAGUCUUCUGCUAUGUGUCUAUGCCUUUUAGGCUUAAGAGUGCCCAGGCGACUUAUCAGCGAUGUGUGCAGAACUGUCUUCACAGUCAGAUUGGGCGCAAUGUUCAUGCUUAUGUGGACGACAUUGUGGUGAAGUCCAGAGAGAAGGAGACCUUGACAGAUGAUCUGAAGGAAACCUUUGAUAACCUCCGGGUCUACAAGAUGAUGCUUAACCCGGCCAAGUGUGUUUUUGGAGUGCCAGCGGGCAAGCUUUAGGGUUUUCUGGUUUCUAACAGAGGCAUCGAGGCUAACCCGGAGAAGAUCAAGGCAAUCACGUCUUUGGCUAAGCCGGCGUGUAUCAAUGAUGUUCAACGUUUGGCGGGUCGUAUUGCUGCCUUAAGCCGGUUCAUAAGCCGGUUAGGUGAGAAGGCCAUACCGUUGUAUCAGAUGAUGAAGAAGACAGACAACUUUGUCUGGAGUGAUGCUGCUAACGCUGCCUUUGAAGAUUUGAAGAGAUAGCUCGCUGAGCCGUCGGUCCUUGCUGCUCCCAUUGAUAAGGAGCCAUUAUUGUUAUAUGUGGCUGCUAACACACGUGCUGUCAGUGUGGCCAUUGUCGUAGAGCGCAAGUAGGAUGGCAAGGAAUAUCCAGUUCAAUGGCCGGUUUACUACGUCAGUGAGGUGCUUAUUGAGUCCAAGCAAAGAUAUCCACACUGGCAGAAGCUCGUUUAUGGGGUAUUCAUGGCGAGCUGGAAGCUUAAGCAAUAUUUUCAGGGUCAUCCCAUCACUGUGGUUAGUUUUGCUCCUUUAGGAGAUAUCAUUCAAAAUAGAGAAGCCACAGGACGAGUCGCCAAGUGGGCCAUUGAACUUGGGCCUCAUGGUUUAAAGUAUGUGCCACACACUGCUAUCAAGUCCAAGCAUUGGUGGACUUCAUCAACGAUUGGACAGAGCUGUAGAUGCCUGAAGAGAAGCCGGACAACACAUAUUGGACUAUUCACUUUGAUGGGUCCAGACAAUUGGAGGGCUCGGGGGCUGGAGUUGUUUUAGCUUCCCCUGGAGGUGACAAAUUUUGGUAUGUGCUACGGUUGAUGUUUCCCUGUACUAACAAUGUAGCUGAGUAUGAGGCCUUGCUCCAUGGUCUUCAGAUGGCUAAGGAGAUGAGCUUAAGCCGGGUAAGGUGCUUUGGCGACUCAGAUUUGGUGGCUCAACAAGUAUCAGACAAGUGGGAUUCCAAGGAUCCUCUUAUGGCGGCUUAUCGCCAUGAAGUUGAUGCCAUUACUGGACACUUCAAGGGUUACCAAGUGGAGCACAUUGAUCGCAGAAAGGAUGAGGCGGCUGAUGCUUUAAGCCGGCUGGGGUCUCAGCAUAAGCCGGUGCCACCUAACACUUUCUUAGAUAUUCUGCAUAACCCUUCUGUCAAGUUGCCUACAGAGGAAGACUUGGCUGUUCCAGACCCGGAAGCACAAUUGGUGGCGGCUCUUCACGUCAUCCCAGAUUGGACAGUGCCAUAUUUGGCUUAUAUGACCCGGGGCGAGUUGCCUGAGGAUGAAACCCUGGCUAGACAGAUAACCCGGCGGUCUAAGUCAAUGACAAUUGCCAAUGGUGAGUUGCAUCAUCGCAGUGUCACUUGGGCGUUUCAACGAUGUGUCUCUCCUGAGGAAGGUCAAGAAAUUCUUCAUGAAAUCCAUGAAGGAGAUUGUGUCCAUCAUGCCGGUUCAAAGUCUCUUGUGGCCAAAGCUUUCCGUCAUGGAUUUUAUUGGCUGACGGCUCACGCUGAUGCGGAGGAUCUAGUCAGUAAAUGUGAUGGUUGCCAGAAAUUCUCACGACGGGCUCACAUGCCGGCUCAAGAAUUGAGGAUGAUUCCAAUUACUUGGCCAUUUGCAGUCUAGGGGCUCGACAUGGUUGGGCCUUUCAAAAGGUCCAAAGAUAAAAAGACACACCUUCUGGUGGCGGUUGACAAAUUCACAAAGUGGGUUGAGGCAGAACCGGUUAUUAGUGUGACGCAGCCACAACGGUUCAAUUCAUGAAAAAGGUGAUCUUUCGUUUUGGCUUUCCACACAUCAUUAUAACUGACAAUGGUACUAAUCUGUCCAAGGGUGCCAUGGAGGAGUUCUGUCAACGUGAGCACAUCCGGCUUGAUGUUUCAUCAGUAGCUCACCCCCAAUCCAAUGGUCAAGCUGAAAGAGCCAAUCAGGAAAUCUUGAAAAGCAUCAAGGCCUGGAUUAUGGUUCCUUUACAACGGACGCCGGGUUGUUGGGUCGAGGAGUUACCCUCUGUGAUAUGGAGCAUCAAUACCACCCCUAACAGGUCUACGGGUUACACGGCUUUCUUCAUGGUUUACGGAGCCGAAGCGGUUCUCCCUAGUGACAUCCAUCAUGACUCGCCCCGCGUGGCAGCUUAUGUUGAGGCUGAUAAUGAACAAGCACGUCAGGAUGCAUUUGACCUGUUAGAUGAGAAGCGCGACUUGGCAGCAGCCCGCUCGGCGAUUUACCAGCAGGACUUGUGCCGUUAUCACAGCCGCCGGGUUAAGUCCAGAACCUUUCAAGAAGGUGAUUUGGUGCUCCGGCUCAUCCAGGAUCAAACUGACUCACACAAGUUAUCCCCACCUUGGGAAGGGCCCUUUGUGGUCAGCAUGAACUUGCACAACGGGUCAUACUACCUCAUCGAUGUUCGAGAGCACAAAGACUCACGUAAGUCGGAGGAAGAGAACCGUCGGCCGUGGAAUAUCGCUCAUCUUCGGCCUUAAUAUACUUGAGCCACCAGCGCUCAUAAUGUACAUAUUUUGACGAUGUAUAUAUUAUGAUAAGUAAUAAAAUAGGACCUCUGUCCUUUUCAUCCUCAAUGAUCAUAUGUCUUCAUCAUCAUAAUUUUAAAUGACCAAUUGGGGGCUGAUCGUACUCGAAUCCAGCUUAACCCUUUGGUCCGGCUCAUGAUCGCAUUCGAAUCUAGCCGUUAAACCUCAUGAUCACUAGGGGGCUUCCUGUUCAAACAUAGGCCAUAUUCGAACCAAAGAGAACAUAGCUGUCGGUAUCCUCUUGAUCGGCACAAUGCCAAACUCACUAGGGGGCUUCUUGAUCGUAUUCGAAUCAUAGCUUAACCCCUUUUGGGUCUGACUUUGAUCGUAUUAGAAUCAGAGUCGUUACAAAAAAACUCUCAAGGUCAUUCGGGGGCUUCCUAUUCAAACAUAGGUCGUAUUCGAACCAAAGAGAACAUAGCUGUCGGUACCCUCUUGAUCGGCGCAUCGCCAAAGCCACCGGGGGCUAGAUGAUCGUAUUCGAAUCCUAGCUUAACCCAUUUGGUCCGGUUUACUGAUCGUAUUCGAAUCAGAAGCCUCAAAUUUUUCUUUCUAUUUGGUUUAAGUUUUUUGAAAACAAUCUUUGUUUUUGUCUUGAGGCUUUUUAUCCAGAUCUAAGUAUAAGUAUGGUUUAAAUUUAACCCAGCUUGGUUUUGGAUGAUCAGUCGCCAGCGCAUGACAAUCAUCAUACAUGUGGAAGUGUUGGCUUCUAAAGGAUGGGGUUAUCACCCUUACUGUUCAGGUCACAUGAACCGGCAGUGCAAAUUCGAAAUCACAGGUAUGAUACUAUGGUUGUGGUUCAACGCUAUAAUUCAUAACAGGCUUAUCUGUGUCUCUUCUUUCAAUAUUAAUGGUUGUAUGUAAGAUGUUAUGACCCGCCCUGCGGUAAGCCGCCAAGGGUUCUUGUGAUCUAUUUCUGUGUGCAGGACAGUUCAAAGACUUUCUUAUGCAUAAAUAAAACAAAUGAUAAGUUUAAAAAGGGGAGAGUAUAAGGCGGCGGCUUAACAGUGUUGAGCACCAAAACGUGCAUGAUGGCACGACAAAGCAAAGUCAUUUCUACCCUAUUACAUGACUCGCCGAGUCCAAAUGAUUAAAUUGUUUUUCAGCAAGGUACAAAUAUGAGCUGCCCGGCGGUUCAGUCUUCUUGGCCUUGUUGCUUGGAGUCUUCUGCGUCAUCCUUUGCCGGCUCUUCGUCUUCUUCCGCUAGCUGAAAAGUUGGUGAUGACCAAUCGAUACCAGAUAAAGCUUCAUUCAGCUUCAUCAUCUAUAAGCUCAGACAGAUCGACUUCAGGAGCAAAGGUGUGCUUACGAAUUGGCGGGAUUAAGUCCAUCACUCUGUAAGCCGGAGUUGGCAUCUUCUUAUGGUCCCGGUCAUAAGCCGGUUGGUACUUGGAGAGGUCCGAGUCAUUCGCAAUCAUUGUGGCCAUUGGACGGAUUUCCUUUACACAGGCCGCGAAGUCUUUCUGAUUGAAAGGUGUACCAUAUUCUUUCAGACUUGGGUAACCAGUAGCUACCUCAGAUGGAUCAAGCUCUGGUACCCAUGCCUUGGCCCGACUCAAGGCUGUCACGACGCCGGCUCUUGCAGAUGAUCGCUUUAUUUCAUCAAAUCUAACAGGAGCACAUAAAGCUUCUUCAAAACAUCUAUGAACAUAGUUGGUGCUUGACCUGUUGGUGAGAUAGAGGCCAGUGCACGUUGAGUCCCGGUGCACAGCUGUUCAACAAGGGUAUAGAAAACUUUCAGCUUGACAAGCAUGUCUUGAUUGAGGUUGCUGCUCCUGGGACCUGAAUAGAUUGUAGUACGAUUAAGAUGGCGAGUUAUAUGAUCAAAGAUAAUGAUUCACUUCUGAUGCUUGAUAAAGGCGACUCACUGAAGAUGGUUGAAACCAUCUGAUUAACACGGCUUUUUAAAUCGGACAGUUCAGUGGUCGCUUCUUGAAGUGCUGCUUCUGCCUUCUCAGCACGUUGGGUCAAGGCCGUCUUCUCAUCUGCCCAGGAUUUUCUCUCUGCUUCAAAGCCGGUCUUCAAUUUUUCCGACUCAGCCAAGCUAAAUUGGAAUUUGGACUCAGCCUUCCGGGAUUCAGUUUCCUGAGUCGCCAGCUGGCUCUUGGCAUCAUUUAGUUGGGAUUCCAGUUCAGCAGUGGCAGACUGCACAAGGAGCAGAAUUGUCGAAUAUCAGAUUUAUUAGAUUGCAAGUCCCAAGUCUUUUGCCUGCAACAACACUUGACACUUGGGGGCUAAUGUCUAUCGAAGCUAAAUUUUCAAAAAAGCGGCUCUAAUAAAGUCCCAAGUACUUUGCAAGCAAAACUACUUGGCACUUGGGGGCUAAUGCAUACCGUUUGUUUUUUCUUUAUUAUGAGCCGGAAGUAAUGUAACUGUCCUAACCGAUUCAUAGGGGCAAUGCAGUCAAAAUCUUUCUUCUUAUACAAAGACAAACAAGGACCGGCUAAUUCCCAUGGAUUAAGCCGGCCCUUUGGGGCUACGGACGGAAAGUUAAAAUCCGCUUUACAUUUAAACCGGCCAAAGAGGGAUUCUAUGGCAGCAGUUGUGAAUUGUUUUUCAAGUCCACAACCUAUAUUAUCAUAAAUAGUAGACUUGGGGGCUGGCAGGAUAUGUAUACAAAUUACUUAAAGAUGGAAAUUCAUACCUCAUAUUUUUGGUGCAUCUGCUUCACCAUAUCAAUUUUGAGGCCGCGGCUGGAGUGGACCUGGAUGAGAUAGCCGGAGAGGAUCUCAUUGCUGUUUAGUUGGGAGUAUUGAGAAAUAUCAAACUUCUGUUUCCGCCUCUCAAUGACUUCUUGUUUGGCAGUAUGUUUGGCCAGAGCUAUCAGAUUUCCCGGCUCUACAAAGCUGGUGCCAGUAAUCAACACAUCAUCAUUUUGAGGCUCUGACGGCUUAGUUGAGUCGGAGGGGGCAGAAGUUGAAGGACUGAUGGCAGUGCCACCAACGCUAAGUUCCGGAAUCUCAGGAGGGGUGACAGUGACAGUGUCUUCCGGAUGCUUAUUGGAAGCCUCAGGGACAGGUAUUUGUUGUUCCGGCUCAGGGAUUUCCGGUGCUUCUAUUGGCUUGAUCACUUUAGCGUUUUUGUUUGGCUUUGCUUGACCACUACAGAGGUUAUGAAAAGUCAGUAUUAAUAUAAGUACAUAUGAAGGUACAGAGUAAAGCUAAUUGAUAUUACCCAGGGGCAGUCUUGAAAGCCGACAUUUCAGUUUAUGAUGAGCCGUCAGAAGAAGAACGAGCAAGUUCUUGGUCAAUGAUCAUUAAAAGAGUUAAGUAACAAAUAAGCAAGACCCGUUGACAGAUGAGAAGAAUUUUUCGAGUUUAAACACCUCGUUUCGGCGUUUCCGAGGGGCAGGGGUGUUCGGUAAGCCGGAUGAUAAUUCAUCACCUCCGCUGGUCCGGGUCUGGAGAUAGCUUUCAUGCUGUUGUCGUUUCAAAAGAAAGUGAGGAUCUAAAUAAGCCAAGGGGUGUGAAAACCUUACUUUCUGGGUUACUUGUCGAAGUUUCUGUCUUAGCAAAGAUUCUGAGCCGGAGGAAAUAAUAGUUACCUCUUCUUCAACUGCUUGGCUGGCUCCCGUCUCAGCCUGAUAAUAAGCAGUGUCAAUAAGAUGGUUGAAAAAUAAGCCAAGAGAGUCAAGGGCUACCUCCGACUCAGAGGUAUCAUCCAACUUAAGCAUGUCAGAGGCGCUUGGUUUCUUCUUCUUCUUGGUGGUCUUCUUGGCGGUUUUCCUAGCGGCCUUCUUGGCAGCUCUGGCCUUCUUAGCAGCCUCGUGGUCAUAUUCCGCCUUCCAGAAUUCCGACUUACCCUGUAGAGGUUGUCAACAGUUGAGUUAAUCAGAUAUUCGAAUAAUGAGGUGAAGAUACAGUAAAGUUCAGAGGCUUACAUCUGGAGCCGGGUUAAGCUUGCAGAAAGGGGCCAGACCCACUUUGACACAAUCCUCCGGGUCUUGAUUUAAAAGAGACUUCACCAUUUCAUUGAUUGCUUCUUCAGACAAUGGUUCGGAGCUAUGGCGCAGUGAAUCUGUUGUAUCACCACUAUAGGUGCCCAUUAAGCCGGUGCGACGGCUCAACGGGAUGAUCCGCCAAGAAACCCAGCACCUGACUAAAUCAACACCAGUCAGCCCGUUUCCUAGCAGAGCUUUGAUUUUCAUGAUGGUAUGUGCAAUCUUCUUCCGUUCAGCUGCAAAGAGCUUUUCAGGGAGAUUAUGUUUGGGGUCCAGGCGCUCAACACGAUAACCCAGUAGAGGAUUCUCAUCAGCCGGAGAAGUGUCUUUGCAGUAAAACCAUGUCUGAUUCCAGUCUUUAGGGUGACUCGGCAGCAUGGCGUAAGGAAAGAUGGCGUCUCUGCGAUGUUGAAUCGAGAUUCCGCCUAGUUCCAAGCUAGGGCCAUUGGUGAAUGCAGUCUGGCGGUUUAAGUAAAAAUACUCUCGAAAGAGUUCAACACUGGGCUCCUCUUUAAGAUACACCUCACAAAAGACUUGAAAGUUGCAAAUGUUUGACACGAAAUUGGGUUCGAUGUCUUGAGGGUGGUGCUGGAAGAAGUGCAGCACGUCUCGAAAAAACUUAGAGCUGGGCGGUGAGAAACCCCAGUUCAUGUGGUCAGUAAAGACAAUGACUUCGCCGUCUUUUGGUUGGGGUUUCUCUUCACCCGGGUUAGGAGCACGAUAAUGCAUCACGCUCUUGGUGGGUAAAUAUCCGAUUUUGAAAAAAAAAUCCUUGAGGGUGCUCUCGGUGACGAUGGAAGGGACCCAAUUGCAGGUGUACACUAUUUUAGGCGGCAUUGUGGAAGAAAACCUAAAGGAAAGAAAUAUUGCCGAUUCAAACUUAAGCCGGAGAGGAAAAUAUUACAGUGCAUAUUCAAGAUGGCGGCUUACAAAGGGGCCUAAUGGUAUAUGACUAAAUUAUGUCAGGUUAUGUAAACCGCCAUGAGCAGUGCAAAUUAUUUAAGCCGCCAUGAUAAGUUGGAUGAUGUCUGUUGAGCAUUUCAAUUUAAGUCGGCAAUUUGAGCCACCAUGGCUAGGUGGAUCUAACAAAUGCAGUUUUUGCCUAAGUGUUAUACAAAAAAGUUUCAUAGGCUGCAACUAUUAUUUCGGAUCAACGUUUGUUCAGGAAAAGAAAAAUAAAUCUAGACCUAAAAACCAGUACAGAUGAGUUCAUGAGCUUUCACAAGAUUUUUCUUCCAGGAAAGGGAAUCUACUGAUAUCAAAAGUGGGAAUAAAACAACUACCGCAUUGGUUGAACACCAUUUUUAGAUCAAAGAAGCUCGCGGUACAGCCUGGAAGAUGAACUACGAAGAACACAGAGAAACUCGCAAACCCGAAUGCGGAUCUGAGGUAUGGGAAGGCAGAAAUUUACAGCUGCAGAUCUACUGCGGAGGGUCGCCGCCGUUCUCUAGAUCGACUCAGGUUGAUGCAGCGGCCGAGGUUGAGGAAGACGAGGUGCUCUGCGGCGGCAGUGGAGCUCGAGCGGCAGAAGGGUUGCGAGAGGAAGAAGACGCUGGAAAGGGGGAGAAUGAGGAAAGACCGGUCGUGCCUAUUUAUAAGGAGACUCUUAAGUGGGAGCGAAAAACGAGGAGGCCAAAAAUAUGGUUAUCCAGCUACCAGGACGCCUCGAUUCUUGGGAUGGUCAUUAAGAUAAGGAUCCAUUGAGAUACGUUGGAUAAAGUGUGAAGUAAUGGCAGAUGACAUCAUGGCGGGUAAUCACAAAUCCAGAAGAUGACGUCAUGGCGGGUUACAAAUUCUCGCACAAUGAAGAGCAGAAAAUUUUAUGUAAGUGUUGAAGAUUGACAUGAACCAGCUCAAAUCAAUCUGGGGCCUAAUGUUGGGAAUAUAACUAUUAGGUAUGACCCGCCCAGGAGGGGCCGGGUUAUACCUAUGGCAAUUCAUGAAGCCCAAGACAGCUCUGGAAGAUGGCGGUUCAGUUAAGGACCCAAGGCCCAAAGGCGACUCAAGGCCCGUAGAGAUAAAUCGCCAUAUGUACAUAACUUGUAUUGUAAGGUAGGGAUAGUUAGAGACCGAGCCGGACACUGUUUAUGAGCCGGCCGGGACUCUGUGAGCCACUGGACGUCGACCUCUGUAUAUAAAGGGACGACCCGGCAGCGGUUCAGGGGAAGUAACAUCAGAUCGAAAGCUAGGUCAAGCGGAUUCGCUCCCUAGUAAUCGAAACAUAAGCAAUACCACCUCAAACUGGAUUAGGCCUUUACCUUCACCGCAAGGGGCCGAACCAGUAUAAACCCUCGUGUCCUUUAUCCCGUUUUAACCCCUUUAAGCUUCCUAGUUGCGAUGGCUCCACGAUUAAGUCCUUUCCCUAGGACAUCUGCCGUGACAAUUCCACGACACUAGGCGGCAGAAUUUUAAGAGAGGAUUGCAAGAAAAUAAUAACUUAAACUAGCCAGGGUUGAUGACAAAGAAAUCCUAAACAGCAAGGGGAAAUUCAGAUUUUACUCAUUGUCUUUUUGGUAUUUUCAUAAUGCUUGAGAAGUUAAAAUACUAAUACGAGCAUACAUCAAUGACAAGAGAAGUGAAAGGACAUGAACGUAACAUGACAAGGACACAUAUAUAACUAUCAAACAUGUACCAGAGGAAAGAAACAAGAUAAUAUGAAAGGGACAAAUAUAUAUCACAACACAAACAUAUAUAUUUUCACAUGAACAUAGUUAACACAAGAACUAUGGUAUAAACAUAACCACACAUAUGGGAACAAAGUACUACACCAAGGUUCAGGUUACACGAGUGACAACACAAACGAAAUUACACAAGCCACUAAACUAGUACUCGCAGAUCAACAGAAGCAGCAAGACAGAGAGGAAAGGCAUGCAGGGGAUCAGACUCCCCUGUGAUGGUGUCUUGUCAGGGGCGUGAGUAGGAGCAGUAGUGAAGGGGUUCAGAGAAGAAUCAAGAGAAGCGGCAGAGGGAGUAAGUAGCAGGAGCGCAUAGAGAAGAAGCAGC
rnacentral:lncRNA from 1 species